CUGUCGCUCUAGUGUCUCCUUCACGGAUGUCGCGUCGUACAUUCGUCUAUUUGAAAACGUCCUUUUCAUUAAAGGCAACAAGAUAUGGUCUCUAGGUUUGCUAUUUUCCAUUUCAGUGGAGAGGGCUGGUGAUCAAUGCUCGUGGAAUCAUCACACUUGUGGAAUCAUCACAUUCAGCCUCAAUUUGAACAGGAUACCUAUCAGCUUAUUACAUAGGGUUACAUAGGGUUACAUGAAUACCUGCGCAAGUACAGUCCCAGAACACUACUGCCUAAUUCAAUACACUCAAUCACCUGUACAAGUAAAUAAAGUCAAAGUAUUAUUAGCAGCAGUAUUAGCAGCAGUAUUAUUAGCAGCACUCACAUAUCCUCUUCAUAUUUCGAUCUGGGUGGCUUUGUCACCAAGGGUACGGACAAUAUCACUUCUACUUUGAUCAUUUAGUCAGGAAUGUGAAUUUUUUCAGUCUGAGAGUGCACUGUGCACUGUGGAACCGAAACUAGCCAGGGAUGAGCCAAUUUCUGUAUAUUGGUGACUCCAGUUGGCUGCGUACAGUUGGCUGCGUAUCAGUUUGGGGUUUGGGAUUUGGGACACGAAUAAACCACUUUUCAAAACUGUCAUGUACCUAUAUAAAAAAACGCAAACGCACAUCAGUAAGUAUUGAUUGCUAUUGUUUCUUUAUAUUACUAUUACUAUAUUUAAUUUUAUUCAUGUUGUGUAUAUACUAGCCUCGAACCAGGCCCAAAAUUGGGCCUGGAAGGGAUUGCAUGCGCAUGCGUCAAAAUUCCCAGAAAACUUGGGAAUUUGGAUACUGUUUGUAAAUGUACUAUAGGUCCAUAUAAAAAAGAUUUAGUUACUUACGCCUUAGACGCCUUAGAUACAGCUACAUUCAAGUUCAGUUAGACAGUAUUAAGUGGAAGGUAAUGAUGUGUUUGUGUGGCUGCCUACUGGAUUUGGAAAAUCGAUGAUUUAUGAGAGCUUGCCCUUUGUGUUUCACCGGCUAAAGAAUGUUUCUAAUAGUGUGGUGUUGGUAGUUUCUCUCCUGAUUUCGCUAAUGUUGGACCAAGCGAAGAGUCUGGCAAAGAGAGGAGCCAUAAUGAGUGACCGCAGUGUUGUCGAUAAGAAGGACAUUGAUAAAUAUAAAAUAGUAUUUACUUCUCCUGAAGCUGUCAUUGGAGUUGAAAGAUGGAGAAGUACACCUACAUUUUCUGACCGUAUAGCGUACUUGCACAGAAUACGACUGACAAGAAUUACCAGGUUCCCCCUUCUGUGAGAUUACUCACUGUACUCGCUGUUGAAAGACCAGCUGAUUGAACUCGGCACAAGCGUACUGUACAUGUCACCCCUAUGGUCUGAUCUAAUGUUACGUACCCUAACGUUCUUAUCGACAUUGUCGCCAACUAACUUGAUGUCAGUGCCCGUACUUAGCCAGUCUUUAGCCAGUCUUUUGAUGAAGCUUGGCGAUUUUGCCGAUGGUUGUAUCAUAGCUGACGGCAACACCUACUUGGUUCAGACGUGUGUGUAUACCUGAAACGUGUAUACCUGAAACGUAAAGAAAAAGAUGUCAGUUCCAUAUUUGUGACAUCAAAGUAUACGUACCUUUUUCUCGGUAGGAUCAAUGAUAUUAUGCUCUGAAUUCCACCUCCUUUAGGAUACAUGCUACUGCCAUACAUACAUAUUCCUGGAAAGUAAAAGGGGCUGUGGUCGGUGUGAGUCGAAAAUUACCAAGAGCAUCUGAAGAAGGCAUGUAACUCGAGCUCUCGGAUGAUGCACUUUCUCCAAGAAAAUGCAUCGACUGGUAUCAUUGAUGGUGCGUUAAUAUUUGGAUCCUGCACAUGGUAGAACACUCAGUACCUACUUCCGAUAAGAAUUUACUUUUCAGUUGGUCAGGAUUGGCGCACGGCCUUUGCAAUUGCAAUUGUAGGAAUGUGACCUCCUGCGACCUCCUGCUAAUGCCCUUCCAACUUUUUCCAACUUGGUAUCUAGCUGCUUAAUUAUUCCACCAGAGUGACUUGGGGUGGUAACUGUUACCUGCAAUAUUAUAUUUAGCUACAAGGGUUAGGGUUCGAAAGUGUUCGAAAGUGUUCUUACCUUAAACGAGCUAAAAGGGCAUGCCGUGUGCAGCUCCGACCGGAUGCAACGGGAAAAUGGGGAAAAUGAACAAACGAUGAAUUUGUUUGAGUCUUUUUGACGCCAUUCUUUACACUUCCUUUGAUACGCCUUCUUCCUGAGUAUAGCGUGAGCUCUCGCACGAGGUAGUUUGUUCAAACCAGAACAAAAAAAUGGCUACAAACUUAUUUUCAGCUUCUUCUAAGAAGCGUGCUAUAGGCACGGUUUUAGGCACCACAUGGAGCUGAUGUUCAACACGGAUGAGGCCAAGAAGACUUAAGGAUAGGAUGGACAGCGCUAAGCGUGUUCUUGCUGCCAGAGGCUCAUUGCCCUUGGACAACGGAGAGCUUCUCUCUAGAUUGUUGGACAAUAUGGAGGAACUGGCAGCUGAAGGAGUUUGCCCUGGCUCUGAUCGCUCAUGUCGUGCCCAUGUUGGAGAAUUCAGGAAUUUUCACUGGCAAUGCCAACGCCAGUGACGACCAGUUGUUCAUUUGUGAGCAAAAAACAUUUUCCCGUCUGUGUGCCAACCAUAUCAGUGCCAGUCAUACUCUCUUUAGAAGGGGCACGUCCUCCGCAUUGAAUUUCAAUGCGGAAGGCGCCAGUGGUGGGCUAGCUCACGAACACUAGGUGGACGAUACGAGCUAGGUGGACGAUACGAUACAUUGUCAUUAUUUUUAUUUACUUGACUUUUUGGUCCAAGAUCGUUCAUGCUUUCACGUGUGCUAGAGUUCUACAGUUCUACCGAGUGAAAAGUCGGUGCAUGGUACAUUUCUUCAGGUUUGUUUAUUUGGAGUUUCUCUAAUGGUUGUAUGGUUACAGGUACUGUGGACGCAUGUCAUCCAUGCUGAAGGCAGUUGAGGAAGUGAAAGCAACACCUAAUUACUCAACCAAUGGCGAGUGGGUAAUAACGCUCGCCACGACUCUACAGCCAACGCGUAUAAUACCACCGUUCCUUGUCUGUCAGGAAGUACGAAAAGAAUUGUUGGCUGCUCAAAUGUGUCCAGAACCGAACAUCAUUGUGCACAGACUCGAGAAGUUGCAUGUACCAAGAUAGUUCUUCCGCAGGUUCUGGAAAAAGUGAAGAAAUACGUCACUGAUGAGCUGAACCUUGGAAAUUCGUACAACACCUGGCACGGUAAGCGUAUAUUCUGUAACAGAGUUGGUGCAGGGACCAAGAAUGUAGCAAAGAAAAUGGCGAAAAUAGCAGUUGGGACCAAGAAGGCUCAAGGAAAGACCUGGUUUCCAGAGUUAUCUGACAAACUAAGCUUUGUUUGUUGAAAUUGCUGAGUCACAUAAAUAUAAUCCCCAUUAGGUAAAAGUACAAAAAUCCACUUGUACUACUGUAUGAAGAACUGUGCUCAGUCAGCAGAAAAGCUGCGGAAAAGUAUUUUAAAUAUCUGAGUAUCUGAGUAUCUUAUGUUUACAUGUAUUAUAACCUAUUAUUAUUAUUGUGUUUGCAUUAUUAUAAACACAAUUAUUGUGUUUGCAGAACAAGGCUGUGACAAAACCUCGACAAAACCUCAUUCUGCCACCAUUCAGAUCAAACUUGAGGAUCCUGCUGCCAUCGAAGCUUAUAAGGCGACACUAGUCAUACUGUUGAGUGAGGAUUUUCAAUUAGUAUUAUAGAUGAUUUAUUUCAUGUGUUGCAAUCACCAGCUACUCACAUACAUACCAAAGCGUAUUCAUUUUGGAUCAAGUACUAUUAUGCACUGGGUAUAUGUUGUACUAACCUACUGUAUUACAAUGGAAGUAUUUACAUUACAGAACGAGAAUGUAUGUAGAGAAAGUAUGUAGAGAAAGUACAAAAAGUACAAGUGAGGAGGCCUGAACGUAGGACUGCCAUGAAAGUGCUAAUUUGAUUUAAAUUUGUGGACAAUAUAUGGGAUGCUGAGCAACCGUCAGAAGAGCCAUUGAUGAUCUGGCGAACGAUGGACGAUGAACUUGUAUGUAAUAGUUAUUACAUGGCUAUGAGCAGUUUAUUGGCCCUUGCAACAUGCCAUAUAUUGAUCUCACAUAUAUUGAUCUCAAAAGCGAGAUGUUGACUGAAAGUCUUUGUACAGAAAACCCGGUGGGUUAGGGAAUCGUCCACGCACCUCCUGGAUAACAAAAAUGGAUUGUACCUGCACUACUUUCCCAAUAGGGUCCAGAACUUCUUGUACAGCCUGUACCUCUUUGUCAUGUUCCCCAAAUCUGGUGCAGAUGCUCCUAUCAACCAGUGGCUACAGCACAGGGUGAGAGGUGGCAAAUAGGACAAGCGUUGUCUCCCCCCAGUGCUGGCUACUACCACCUAUAAUAAAGAUAAGUCGUACAUUAUUAUACAUUCACUACCCAAGAUAAGUUACGUUUACUUUUGUAAUCAGGUGAUAAUUAUACCCAUUUUCUCAUCUAGCGUUACCUGGGAGAGAUGCCGUGCACCCACUUGACAACCCUGAUGAUUCACCUUCUUCAGAUUCACCUUCUUCAAGACUAUCCAACGACGUAGUUGCAAUACUGUCUACUACACACCCAUGAAAAGAAGCAAGCUUCCUAAACUCCUCCAGAAACUUCACUGGAAGUUGCUCACUGUAGCUGACCUGAAGCUGAACACACAUUUUAUUUAUUGUACAUGGCCUUUUUGCUGUACCUAGCUACUUACCUUGAGCCUUAUUUUUUUGUCAGCCAUAAGUUUCUUGGUUACUCCUGGAAUGUA